GAUGAACGCUGGCGGCGUGCCUAAUACAUGCAAGUCGAGCGAACGGACGAGAAGCUUGCUUCUCUGAUGUUAGCGGCGGACGGGUGAGUAACACGUGGAUAACCUACCUAUAAGACUGGGAUAACUUCGGGAAACCGGAGCUAAUACCGGAUAAUAUUUUGAACCGCAUGGUUCAACAGUGAAAGACGGUCUUGCUGUCACUUAUAGAUGGAUCCGCGCUGCAUUAGCUAGUUGGUAAGGUAACGGCUUACCAAGGCAACGAUGCAUAGCCGACCUGAGAGGGUGAUCGGCCACACUGGAACUGAGACACGGUCCAGACUCCUACGGGAGGCAGCAGUAGGGAAUCUUCCGCAAUGGGCGAAAGCCUGACGGAGCAACGCCGCGUGAGUGAUGAAGGUCUUCGGAUCGUAAAACUCUGUUAUUAGGGAAGAAGAUAUGUGUAAGUAACUGUGCACAUCUUGACGGUACCUAAUCAGAAAGCCACGGCUAACUACGUG
rnacentral:rRNA from 1 species